AUGGAGAACGCGGUGGUGCUCCGGGAGUUCGACCGCGUCGACGCCGCCGGCACCGGCAACAUCACGGCUCCUCAGCUCCAGAGCGCGCUCGCCGUGGGCAACCUCGACUUCCCCCUCUCCGUCGUGCAGCAGAUGAUCAGGAUGUACGACUUCGAUCGGAACGGCACCAUGAGCUUCCAAGAGUUUUUGGCUCUUAACAAGUUCCUUCAGAAGGUGCAGGGUGUCUUCUCCACCCUAGAAAGGGGUCGUGGAUUUCUCAGCCUUGAGGAUGUGUAUGAGGCGUUGAUCAAACUCGGUUUCUCUUUGGAUUCACCUGCCUUCUACACUGUCUGUGAGAGCUUCGACAAGAGCAAGAAGGGGAUGGUUCGUUUGGAUGAGUUCAUAUCGAUCUGCAUCUUUGUGCAGUCAGCCCGUAACUUGUUCAGUUCAUUUGACACAACCAAGCAAGGGAAAGUGACGUUGGAUUUCAACCAGUUCGUCUACUGCACGGCGAACUGCAGGAUAUAG
rnacentral:rRNA from 1 species